GCAUAUUGGCACUUCUUGACAUUUUCGUUCAGAUUCUCAUAGUCUAAUGCCUUAGAAGACAUUAUAAGGAAUUAAAAUUUUCCUCUUAGUUAAAAUUCCAAGCAAAGUGAUGCCCGUACUGGCAAUGUAGCACCUCGGCUCAAAACACAGUUAGGAGGCAAGUGUUGUGAGUCAGUUUGGUGAAUGGUGAGUGAGAAGUUCAAUUUAUUUUUUAUUGGGGU
rnacentral:misc_RNA from 1 species